rnacentral:sRNA from 1 species
UAAACAUAGGGACAACACCGUUCUGCAAGUUCCCCGUCUCAUGAGCCUAUGGAAACAAGAGGAGGAAGAGUGUUAGAACUGUACAUUCAUCAAGCAAAGGCUGGAUAAUAUCGGGCUAGAGAACACAUGAACGUCGUGCUGCACAACCUGCUGGGGUUGCGAUCGAGCACAAUGACGAGGAGAUGGCGGAGCCACAUCAAGAACCGGUCAUGCCUGCUGAGUACACUCAAGCAGAUAUGGAUGACUACAUCUCCAGGACAUUCUACUGAGUAACACAUCAAAACCCUUUGUAAAUACCGCUUUUGUUUUUGUUUCUGUGUUUAUCUUGAAUUCUUUCACAAAUUUUGAUUACACAAGGGACUGUGUAAUUUAAGUUUGGGGGAGGGUUCAAGACGUAUUUGACUUGUUUUUUGUGAAUAUCAUUUGAGUCUGCAUAUCAUCUAAGUCAUAGAAAAAAACAAAAAAAAUUUGAAAUUUUUUGAAAAUGAAUUCCUCAAAAACAGAAUGAUCAUUUAGUUGCAUUACAUUUAGAAUCGAGUCUAGAGUUUUUCAUAUAGGAUUGUUGCCUAUGCAUAGGGGAUAAUGAGGAAAUAGCCUUGUAAGCAUGAUGAUUCACUAAAAUGAGUUAUUAGUUCUCUGAGGCAUUUGAAUGACUUUGAAGUAAAACCGCACCAUGUUCUAUAGAAACCACUCGAUGCAUGUCAUGACACCUUUCCCUGUCAAUUUGAACUUGAAUCUGACUUAUAAUUAUCAUGUUUGCAUCGUUUUUGAACUCGUGGAUAGAAUACAUAUUUGGAUUUUCUUUCACUUAUUCACCACUCUUGUUAAUCCAAGUAGCUGCUUCUAUUAUUAGAGUAGUUCCCCCACCCUUAACCAACCCUUCUUUCAAGCCAUGUUAUUUUGUGAGAGCAUGUGAGGCCUAUUUUCAGGAUUGAGCUUGGUAGAACGUGUUAGGUUUGAGUCGACAAGAGUAGUAUCUCAUGUAGUUCCAAUCCGCAUUUUCGGACUUGGUAGGACUAGGUGGGAACUUAUUUGGGGAUUGAGAUUGAGUGUGAAAAGAAAAAGAAAGAAAAAAAAUGGGUUAGAGUCUUUAGGAGAAGGAAGCUGAAAAUCAUAUUGUGGUCUAGUGAAUGUAUGGGAAGCAUAGAAUUGUUAAGAUAUGCUCUAAAAAAUAGAUGGCAACAAAAACAGAAAAAGAAAAA